rnacentral:rRNA from 1 species
AUUGAACGCUGGCGGCAGGCCUAACACAUGCAAGUCGAACGAGUGGCGGACGGGUGAGUAAUGUCUGGGAAACUGCCCGAUGGAGGGGGUUAACUACUGGAAACGGUAGCUAAUACCGCAUACCAUCGGAUGUGCCCAGAUGGGAUUAGCUAGUAGGUGGGGUAACGGCUCUCCUAGGCGACGCUGCCUAGCGGGUCUGAGAGGAGGACCAGCCACACUGGAACUGGGACACGUGCCAGACUCCUACGGGAGGCAGCAGUGGGGAAUAUUGCACAAUGGGCGCAAGCCGGAUGCAGCCAUGCCGCGUGUAUGAAGAAGGCCUUCGGGUUGUAAAGUACUUUCAGCGAGGAGGCGUUACUCGCAGAAGAAGCACCGGCUAAAGCAGGGGCAGCAGCCGCGGUAAUUAC